GGAGGGGUGGGUGAGUGGACAAAGCCGGCGGUCUGUAAAACCGCAGCCUUAACGGGCUUCGCAGGUUCGAAUCCUGCCCCCUCCACCA
rnacentral:tRNA from 1 species